AGAGACUUCACAUUUGAUCUAAAAAUGUUCAACUCUGCAGACAUGGUCUUUUCACUGGAUAAUUUAUUUUAUGAAAAACCAGAUAUGAGACAAAGGUGUCUGGAAAAUGGAGAUCGUAAUACUUGGUUUAUUGCACCUGCUCCAGCUAUUGCUGAAAUUCCAGCUGCAGAGGAGUUACAGAGGGAACUGGAAAAAAGCUCAGCUCACACUCAUAUGGGGGGGAGCAAGCAUGAGAAGUUUAUACAGCAAUGUAAGAGUAACACAGAGAAAGUGGAAGAUAAAUCAUCAGCACCUAUUCAUUUUGGCAUAGCCCCUGAAAAGGAAGCCCUACAAUUAAGUCUAGGAGAAAGAGAUAAAAUUAGUUUUCAGCAUGAAAAUCUGAAAGUGGUUUCAUCUUUUCUUUCCUUUGAUGAAAAUAAAUCUAAAAGAAUAAUAGAUUUUUCUCAGCAACCACAAAAUAAAGCAUUAAGUGAAAACAGUGAUGAUGAGAGUGUCCAUUCAACAUU
rnacentral:lncRNA from 1 species